GUAGGAAGGGGCUGUGGCUUUCGGACUCGACAUCCCUACUGCUAGCACAACAGGGCUCCACCACAUUGCCCAGGCUGGUCUCAAAGUCCUAGGCUCAUGCGAUCCUCCCACCUCAACCUCCCAAAGUGCUGGAACUACAGGUGUCAGCCACAGCCCCCUGUGAGGAUGCUUAAUCACUCGAGGACGGUAUAAAGGUACAGAAGAACAGCGAGCCACAGGUGGGCCUCAUCCCAUCAGCUGAAGGCCUUACAGGAACAAAGAUUGACCUCCCAGUAUAAGAAGUAAUCUGCCAGCAGGCUGCCUUUGGACUCCAACUGCAACUCUUCCCUGGGUUUCCAGCCUGCCAGCCUACCCUGCAGACUUUGGACUUGCACCUCCACAACCAUACGUUUCCAAAAUCUGGAGAGCGGCUGUGAGUUUGCAGUGCAGUAUGGGGAGAGACCAGAACCCACCGGAAGCCUCCAGGUGCUGCAGUGAGGAGGAGCUGGAACCCUUCUCCUCCAGGUGCCAGCUCGCGCUGCUGUGGUUCUCAUCUGUAGAGGACGUGGACCAUCCAGGGAAU
ensembl:lncRNA novel transcript